GCCUGGGAAUGCCUACGGAGCCUCUGGAGGCGGCGGGGGCCGUGCUUUGCUCGCGGGCCCCCUCGGCUGCCGGCUCGUGCUCCGCAGGCCCGGUCGCCCCCAAGCCGUGCUGCUCGCAGUUCUGCAUCUCAUCUGUGACAGGGCUCUUCUUCGAGCUUUCGGGAAGCUGCUCUCAGGAGUGGGGGCGCCUCUGCUGCCCUGCCAGCGCCAGCUGUCCCCGGCGUUCGUAAUGUCGGGGAACGACUGCACGCUGCCGUGAAGAAUUACGGGCUACCGCCCUCGGACCUCUGCAAGUUAUCGCGUGUCAGGAGCAGCCGGUAGGAUCCAGAUGCCAGCGGAAAGGUUCUCCUCCCGGUCCCGACAAGGAGCCUUCGGCCGUAGGAAGGUCGGCCGCGUCCUUACCUGUGAGCAGUGCUGAGCGUAGUCUGGCCGUCGAAAGAGCGUUGUCGUCGCCGGGAGCUCUCCGCGGAGAUCUGCGUCUGGCCGCGGAAGACGAGCGGAAGGCGAGCCCGGGCUUGCGGCGUGGACGCAGCUAAGUCCCGGGGCUGUGUUGCGUGUGAGCAGGGCUGGGACGUGGCAGUGGUUUUGCCCCUGGCGGUUACGGGCGUCACUGGCCGUGGAUGGUUGCCAGCGGAGCCGAGAGGAGCAAAACUAUCAACGGUCUGUGGGGGAGACGAAUUAGUGCUUGCGGCGUUUCAGGUGCGUUCAGUGGUCGCGCAGCCUGGCGCGAUCCAGCGGCACGAUUUGCGCACGUGCUUACGCUUUAGCGGCGGCUAAGCCCAAGCCUCUAAACAGCAACUGUAACAGGAUUGUGGUGCACGUCUUCCUGUUCUGCUGCCCUUCUAAAUGAAGGGGAAAGUUCCUAAGCUGUGGGCAAAACUCUUUGGCCGCUUCUUACUGUUCUCACGCUCGUGGGUGCUGUGGCGUUCCUUGCUUAAAGCUAAGGGUUUGGACUUUUUCACUUGAGGUUUAUGUAGUUUGUUGCUGAGGGUCUCUCAUGCCGCAGUUGUGGUUUCUCACUUUAUUUUGUGGGGCUCAGUCUUUAUCAGGCACAGUUCACAGGUCCCUCAUUUAGCGAUCAGGGUGCAGGAUUGAAAAUGCAACCUCAUCCCGAGACUUUACAGCCUCAGAAACCAUUUGGGUGCCAAGAUGUGCAGUUCGUCACUUCAGGUUCAGGGCUUAGGGCUUCCUGAUGAGGGAAAAAUCCGUAAAUAAUAAACUGUAAGCCCUGAAGCCCGAGCAGCGGGCUGCAAGCCCUCCUUCGGUGUUUGCCAUCUUCCCCUGUGCUAGCGCUCCGCUCUGCGUGCCGAGCUGAGGCCUGGGUUUGAUACGGUGCAGGCCCACCACGCGGACACUGGCGACGUGCGGCAGGCGAGCCGAGAGCCGUGCGAGCGUUCCGCGGGGCUCUGGUCUGGGGUAGAGCGGAAGCGCGGGCAGGCGAGCUCAGGCGUUGUCCUCUCCGAUUCUCAGAGCUGAAUCCUAUCCCCGAAGGAAAAAGCAGAAGGGGCAGGCCAUCGGCUACGCAGACGCCUGCCGCCUCGGGGGCUGCGGCGGGAGCUGACCCUUCCCCGACGGACGGACGGACGGUCGGACAGACGGACGCUGGCGUGGCGAUGACUCUUCAGGUGUCACGGGGUAAGGGGAAGCGUGCCGGCACCGAGCUCCGUGGCAGGCUCGCUCCCAGGUGGCGUUCCUGCCCAGUAAAACAAUAAACAGCCACUUUAUUCUUU